rnacentral:rRNA from 1 species
UACGUAGGGGGCUAGCGUUGUCCGGAAUCAUUGGGCGUAAAGCGCGUGUAGGCGGUCCGGUAAGUCCGCUGUGAAAGUCGGGGGCUCAACCCUCGAAUGCCGGUGGAUACUGUCGGACUAGAGUCCGGAAGAGGCGAGUGGAAUUCCCGGUGUAGCGGUGAAAUGCGCAGAUAUCGGGAGGAACACCAAUGGCGAAGGCAGCUCGCUGGGACGGUACUGACGCUGAGGCGCGAAAGCGUGGGGAGCAAACAGG